rnacentral:rRNA from 1 species
GAACGCUGGCGGCGUGCCUAAUACAUGCAACUUGAACGCACUGACGUCGACAGAAGGUGCUUGCACUGGAAGUUGAUUGACGUGAGUGGCGGACGGGUGAGUAACACGUGGGUAACCUGCCCUUAAGCGGGGAUAACAUUUGGAAACAGAUGCUAAUACCGCAUAAAAGUUGAGAUCACAUGGUCUUAAUUUGAAAGACGGCCUUUGGCUGUCACUUAAGGAUGGACCCGCGGCGUAUUAGCUAGUUGGUGAGAUAAUAGCCCACCAAGGCGAUGAUACGUAGCCGACCUGAGAGGGUAAUCGGCCACAUUGGGACUGAGACACGGCCCAAACUCCUACGGGAGGCAGCAGUAGGGAAUCUUCCACAAUGGACGAAAGUCUGAUGGAGCAACGCCGCGUGAGUGAAGAAGGUUUUCGGAUCGUAAAACUCUGUUGUUGGAGAAGAACAGGGACUAGAGUAACUGUUAGUCCUUUGACGGUAUCCAACCAGAAAGCCACGGCUAACUACGUGCCAGCAGCCGCGGUAAUACGUAGGUGGCAAGCGUUGUCCGGAUUUAUUGGGCGUAAAGCGAGCGCAGGCGGUUUCUUAAGUCUGAUGUGAAAGCCUUCGGCUUAACCGAAGAAGUGCAUCAGAUACUGGGAAACUUGAGUGCAGAAGAGGAAAGUGGAACUCCAUGUGUAGCGGUGAAAUGCGUAGAUAUAUGGAAGAACACCAGUGGCGAAGGCGGCUUUCUGGUCUGUAACUGACGCUGAGGCUCGAAAGUAUGGGGAGCGAACAGGAUUAGAUACCCUGGUAGUCCAUACCGUAAACGAUGAAUGCUAAGUGUUGGAGGGUUUCCGCCCUUCAGUGCUGCAGCUAACGCAUUAAGCAUUCCGCCUGGGGAGUACGACCGCAAGGUUGAAACUCAAAGGAAUUGACGGGGGCCCGCACAAGCGGUGGAGCAUGUGGUUUAAUUCGAAGCUACGCGAAGAACCUUACCAGGUCUUGACAUCUAGCGCCAAUCCUAGAGAUAGGACGUUCCCUUCGGGGACGCUAAGACAGGUGGUGCAUGGUUGUCGUCAGCUCGUGUCGUGAGAUGUUGGGUUAAGUCCCGCAACGAGCGCAACCCUUAUGAUUAGUUGCCAGCAUUUAGUUGGGCACUCUAAUCAGACUGCCGGUGACAAAC